AAACUGGUUACCUAGAGUAUGGGAGGGGGAGAUGGAAUUAGUGGUGUAGGGGUAAAAUCCGUAGAUAUCACUAGGAAUACCGAAAGCGAAGGCGAUCUCCUGGAACAAUACUGACGCUAAGGCGUGAAAGCGUGGGGAGCAAACGGGAUUAGAUACCCCGGUAGUCCACGCCCUAAACGAUGUUCACUAGUCGUCGGAAUGCUUGUCAUUUCGGUGAUGCACUUAACAGAUUAAGUGAACCGCCUGGGGAGUACGGUCGCAAGAUUAAAACUCAAAGGAAUAGACGGGGACCCGCACAAGUGGUGGAGCAUGUGGUUUAAUUCGAAGAUACGCGAAGAACCUUACCUAGCCUUGACAUUGAUUGAAUACUUUAGAGAUAGAGUAGUGCCCUUCGGGGAACAUGAAAACAGGUGCUGCACGGCUGUCGUCAGCUCGUGUCGUGAGAUGUUGGGUUAAGUCCCGCAACGAGCGCAACCCUCGUCCUUAGUUGCCAGCAGGUUAAGCUGGGCACUUUAAGGAGACUGCCUUCGCAAGGAGGAGGAAGGUGAGGACGACGUCAAGUCAUCAUGGCCCUUAUGGCUAGGGCUACACACGUGCUACAAUGGGGCGUACAGAGAGUUGCGAUACCGCGAGGUGGAGCCAAUCUCAUAAAGCGUCUCUCAGUUCGGAUUGAAGUCUGCAACUCGACUUCAUGAA
rnacentral:rRNA from 1 species